rnacentral:snRNA from 1 species
AAAUUUACAGUGCAUUUUCUUGUAAGUUACAGUGUAAUUUAUGAAACUUACACUGUAACUUUUGUAAGUUACACACAUGUAAAUUUUAAAUUUUGUAUUGGAUUUGGUCUUUUUCUUGAGGAUAUGGUAAUUUAAUGUUCAUUAUGGUGUUUCUUAAU